rnacentral:lncRNA from 1 species
GGAAAGGUAAUUUUUUAUUUUACAAGCUUAGGGGUCACAAGACAAUUUACAAAGCUCAAAAGGUUUACAAAUGAUUCAAUGUUGUGCAUUAGGGGUGGUCAUUUGGUCAAGUAGUUUCAUUUCACAAAACAAUAAUUGUUUUUCUCAUUUCCAAACAAGUGUGUGUAUGCAUUUAAAAGAAUCAUGUAAAAAUCAACUUCAUAACAAUAACAAUUUUCUUACUUACUUUAUAUAUACAUUAUCAUCACACUGAAAUAUUCAAUCCUCUUGGUCAUAAUAAAAAAGGAUAAAGAAUGAAUCAUAUUGCAACC